ACCUUAAAGAAACAAAGGAAAGAAAAUCCAUGAAGAAGCACAGUGGUGAUGUGAACCUGGGGCUCUUUCUGUGCCCAUGACACUGAAGGUCGAGCCCACCUCACUUGUAAUGAAGAUCAAAGCUGAGACAGAAUGUCGGGGUCUCGAGGACCUCACCUUCCCCCCCUCCAUCCAGCAGGGACCCUGGCUAGCGUUUCCUCGCAGCUCUGACCUGUACCUGGCUGAUGGUGUUUAGUGUGUGUGCCUGCGAGUCAUCUGGGUCAUGUGCAGCAAAUGCAGGUUCCAGGGCCCCCACUGUGAUCAGAUACAGCAGCUCCUAGGCAGGCCCAGGAACCUGCAUUUAAAAGACCAAUUCAUUCUUUCAGUAAAAAGAUAAUGAAGGCACACAGUAAGAGUAUGGAAUACAAAAGGUUAUACCAUGAAGAAUGAGUUCAAAGGAGGCUACCAGUGUUUCAAGUAUCCUUCUAGAAAUAUAUGCAUAUAUAUACAUAUACACACUCAUGUAUUUUAAAAAAAAUGCUUGGGAGUGUAUGACACACGUAUUCUGCCCGUUGCUUUCUCCAUGUGUAAUUUUAUCUUGAAGGUCUCUCCAGGUUGGCAUCCAUCCAUCUGCUCUGUGUACUGCAGUGCCGCCUCGGGACACACAGGUGGUCUCGCAUCCAGGUGAGCAUGGGGCGGGACCUUGGGCACGCGGCGUGCUCCCCUCCCGUCUGGUCCUGGGUAGACCCCGCUGCCAGCUCCUCUGCCCCCGCCCCCCCUGCUGGAGAAGCAGGAUCAGUGGUUCCACGACCCACAGCCACUCCCCAGCCUCCUGGGGGGAUCCUGGCCAGGCCAACCGUGGAGCAGUCGUCGCCUCAGCUCCCCAGCAUGUUGCCCGGUGGGACAGGGACACCCGAGACGGGGGGCAAAGUGGGCCCCCAUGUGGCCCGGGCACUGUGAACUGUGGCGGAAGCAGCUAGGGAAGCCUCCGAGUUCACGGUCGCUGGACUGGGUCUGGGAAGUCACAGGUCCCACAACAGGCUCGUGGGGCCACUUCCUUCUGAUUUUCAUCCAGCGUCCUCUCACUCCUCGUCCUCCCUUCCCCAGAGGACAUGCCUGUCCCCUUAUAAAUGCGCUCUGGUCAGUUCCCCGUCUCCACAAACCUCCCCCUCCUGCCUGUCGCCUGCAGGCGGCACCCCUUGGGCACUGCCCUGUCCAAGGCUCCCCUUGUGGCCCUCCUUCCAUCUGUGCAGCCCCUGGCUCCAUCACCGUGCCCACCUCGCAGGUGCGGCCUGAGGUUCAGCGCCUGGCAAGGACCCGCCGGAGCCCGCAGCCAGCGCUGGGGCAGCGCGGAUCUAGGCCAGGGCGCCCGGCCCCAGACGUGCUUCCGCGUGACCCUCAGGCGUGCGGGGCUGGGGAGGCUGAGGAUCACGGUGCCAGAGCCCGGCCGCUCCUCUGCUGCACGUUCCCACAGGGGCUGAGGGCGUCCUUCGCGGCCUCUUGUCUGUUCCUGGUAACGUGGCUGUUCCCUCACCGGACAGAAGCGGCUCCAGAGGGUCACAGAGACCUCACUUGGCCCUGCCCGCCUCGCCGCAGCGCGUCACGGCAUUAACCGCCUGUCCUUUCCGACGCCGGCCCAGCUCUCUGCAGCUACAACCAGAGGCCCCUCCCGCUGCCCCGAAGUUCUCCUGCUCCCUCGGCUACGCACCGCCACGCGUCUCACUGCUCCUCUCAGCUGGAGGGUGUGCAGCCUCCACCGGGGACUCACCCACCUAUGCGCGGAUCCAGAGGCACUUUGCCGAGAAGCGGGAUCUUCAGGUCAUGGCACAUGACCUCCGCACCCCCAGUCGUCGGCGGGAAUAUCUGAGUCUCCUUCUGGGAGGCAAAUUAAAGGGGGAGGAAUCCUGAUUUUGUUUCAGAAUCAUACGAUGGACCACAUUUUAAAGCAACUUUAAAAAAUGGCUGUUUUGAAUGUGAAAAGAAUUUUCAUUAAAUCAGCAACAGAGGGUUUUAACUGAUUCCACUUCCCGAAAUGAUGGGGAAAAUAGAGACGGUUUCCCAGAGAUCCACCCCUACGAUUUCCUCAGGCACGGAGGACAGGACCUGGUUGGACGUAUUCUCACCUGGCACUUGGGGCAGAUGAAGCCGCUCAUGUUCUCCACCACCCCGAUGAUGGGCAGCUUCACCUUGUGGCAGAAGCUGAUCUCUUUCCGGACGUCCUGGAGCGACACCUCCUGUCAAGGUUCAAGAAGUCCAGUUAUGUCAAAGUCAAAGCAUAAAAAGAGAACAUCCGCGUGGUGGAGGGAUGGCUGCAGGGCCGUGGCAUCGCCACCGUGAAGCGUUAGCGACCGUGCCCCGUGUUCCGUAUUUGUUUCGUGCCGACCACGUGCGAGCCCUGUUCCAGGUGCUACUUACUUCCCACAAACCUCAAAGGAUAAACCUGAACAGGCAAAUGUCCAAUGUCCAACGAAUCUACAGGAAAGCGACCCUUUAACACACCUCCAUGCUCCCCUUUGCCGUCAAGGUACUAGGCUGAUCCCGAGUAGGCACAGCCUUCCAGGUCAGGGCAGCCUGUGGGCUCGGCUGGCCGCCUAUUUCCAUAAAUAAAGUUCUUCUGGAACACAGCCUGGCCCACUCUUCUGCACAGUAUCUCGGGCCGCUUUCGCCCCACAAUGGUACAGCUAAAGGGCUGUGACAGAGACCGUGUGACCCAAAAAGCCUGAAACAGUUACUCUCCGGUCCUUCACAGAAAAAGUACAUCAACCUCUGAUCCUGGUUAUCAUGAACCCAAGCAACUUUAUGCACAAGAAGAAAAUAAGGACUAUUACCAGGUUUGGAUCCCUUCAAAUUCACUUCUGGACUCUCAAUGUGCAUCUUACAGCGUGAGGACUGUGGAUAAUCAGGGCUUAGUACCCACCCCAGUACCCCAUUUAAUUUUACUGCAGACACGUGUCCAAGGGUCGUGUGCUGUCAAAUACGGCUACUCCUUAACAUCUGUGGCUUUAACGGUCACAGGCCUUCAAAGGGUCCUGGCUUUGAGUCCUCUAUUCUCCCGAGGCCCACGUUUGGCCCUCGAGCCCUUUGAGGCUGGGGUACAGACAGAGGGGCAUUUAGCUAGAAAGUAAACUGGCUGUUACUAAGCGUCUCACCGCAGUGCAGCUGUGGUUCUCUCCCUGGUAUCCUCUAUAAGCCCUGCUUUGUCAAAAACGACCCCACAGAAACUAACACACCACUGUAAAGCAAUUAUACUCCAAUAAAGAUGUUAAAAUUAA